rnacentral:rRNA from 1 species
UACGUAGGCAGCAAGCGUUGUUCGGAAUUACUGGGCGUAAAGGGCUCGUAGGCGGCCAACUAAGUCGGAUGUGAAAUCCCCAGGCUUAACUUGGGAACUGCAUCCGAUACUGGAUGGCUUGAAUCCGGGAGAGGGAUGCGGAAUUCCAGGUGUAGCGGUGAAAUGCGUAGAUAUCUGGAGGAACACCGGUGGCGAAGGCGGCAUCCUGGACCGGCAUUGACGCUGAUGAGCGAAAGCCAGGGGAGCAAACGGG